UACGUAGGGGGCUAGCGUUGUCCGGAAUCAUUAGGCGUAAAGCGCGUGUAGGCGGUUCGGUAAGUCCGCUGUGAAAGUCGAGGGCUCAACCCUCGAAUGCCGGUGGAUACUGUCGGACUAGAGUGCGGAAGAGGCGAGUGGAAUUCCUGGUGUAGCGGUGAAAUGCGCAGAUAUCAGGAGGAACACCAAUUGCGAAGGCAGCUCGCUGGGACGUUACUGACGCUGAGACGCGAAAGCGUGGGGAGCAAACAGG
rnacentral:rRNA from 1 species